rnacentral:misc_RNA from 1 species
UUUCCGUAGGUGAACCAGCGGAGGGAUCAUUACUGUGUUUGAACAUCACGACUCUUCAUUCAGCCGCUGUACGGCUUCUGCCUGCACUCUGAGGGGGCAUAUAUCCACCCCUGUUCACACACACGGUGCCGGGCUGGGUAACGGCUCGCCGCGGCUCUUUUCACCCGUCUGAAUGACAUUGUAUGUUUAUUUGAGCUUACAACAAAACUUUCAGCAACUGAGCUCUUGGCUCUCGCAUCAGUGAAUAAGACAGCAGAACGUAUGAACACACGUCACAAC